GGGUGCUGUUAGUGUGCUGUGUGUGAGGGUGUUGUGUUUUUUUUAAAGGUGCUGUGUGUGUUUGUGAGGGUGCGGUUAGUGUACUGUGUGUGUGUGAGCUGUAUGUGUGUAGGUGCUGUAUGUGUGUGUGCUGUAUGUUUGGAGGGAUUUGGAAGAUUAGUAAAUCCUUGCUGCCAUGUGCCAUCCCUGGUGGUCCAGUGGAGAGUGAACUCUAGCCUGCGGGGCUAGAGUUAACUCUUGCGAGAUCUGAGCGUUGC